GGGGGAAGCUACAUGNCAAGUCGAGCGAGAAGCUGAUGACAGAUACUNUCGGUUGAAGGAGUCAGUGGAAAGCGGCGGACGGCUGAGUAACGCGUAGGCAACCUGCCCUUUGCACAGGGAUAGCCAUUGGAAACGAUGAUUAAAACCUGAUAACACCAUUUGGUUACAUGAGCAGAUGGUCAAAGAUUUAUCGGCAAAGGAUGGGCCUGCGUCUGAUUAGCUAGUUGGUAAGGUAACGGCUUACCAAGGCGACGAUCGGUAGCCGACCUGAGAGGGUGAACGGCCACAUUGGAACUGAGACACGGUCCAAACUCCUACGGGAGGCAGCAGUGGGGAAUAUUGCACAAUGGGCGAAAGCCUGAUGCAGCAACGCCGCGUGAAGGAAGAAGGCCUUCGGGUCGUAAACUUCUGUCCUUGGGGAAGAAGAACUGACGGUACCCAAGGAGGAAGCCCCGGCUAACUACGUGCCAGCAGCCGCGGUAAUACGUAGGGGGCAAGCGUUAUCCGGAAUUAUUGGGCGUAAAGAGUACGUAGGUGGCAACCUAAGCGCAGGGUUUAAGGCAAUGGCUCAACCAUUGUUCGCCCUGCGAACUGGGAUGCUUGAGUGCAGGAGAGGAAAGCGGAAUUCCUAGUGUAGCGGUGAAAUGCGUAGAUAUUAGGAGGAACACCAGUGGCGAAGGCGGCUUUCUGGACUGUAACUGACACUGAGGUACGAAAGCGUGGGGAGCAAACAGGAUUAGAUACCCUGGUAGUCCACGCCGUAAACGAUGAGCACUAAGUGUCGGGGUCGCAAGACUUCG
rnacentral:rRNA from 1 species